rnacentral:lncRNA from 1 species
GGCGAGCGUGUUGCCUCUGAUCCGCCGCCGGGCUCGGUCGCCCUCUAUACGCCUUUUGCCGACGCCGGUCUCGUUCUUCCGCUUCCGUCUUUGGUGGCCGAGGCGAUGUCUUACUGCGGCGUGACCAUCUCUCAGUUCCCUCCGGCGGCCAUCGACCGCUUCGUGAUCUUCGAAACUCUCUCACGUCGCGCCGGCUGCCCAGCCUCUCUUCCGGUCUUCCUGACGUGGUUCACGAUGACCUCCAUGCCCACCGAUCCUCGCCGUGUGUUGGUCGCUCAGCGUUCCACCGGCGCCCUCUUCGACGGGCUGGUCGACCGG